CCCGCAGCCGCGCUCCCGACCCGGGGCCGGCCUGAGCGGCGGGGCGGAAGGGAAGCGCUUCGAGCUCGAAACGAAAGCUUUAGGAACUCGCGGCCGAGGCCUUCACGGCCACCGGGGAAAACCGCGUGCGACUACCGGGACCUGCGAGGCGGCGUUUCUGUUAAGAGCCGGGAGCGAAGCUCUAAAAUACACGGAAAAGAAUCGAAGUAUUGGGCACGGCCGCGGGGACGGUGCGGGGACAGCCUUUUUCAAGAGCGAGAGAAGGGACGGCCGUAGACGUAGCCUCGUAGCUACGAGCGAGGCGAUCAAAAAGCAAAACGGACGCGGGGGAAACGAGCAGCGAGAGGGCCACGUCUGUGCCAACCCGAGAGGGCCCUUUGCUGACCGCGCCCGGAGCGCCGCGGCGCAGCGGAGGGCUCAGCCCACGGCUCAGCCCACGGCCCUGCGCGGCGCCGUCCCGCUGCCCCGAGCCGCAGCCGAGGCACGGAUAGGCACGGAUAGGCACGGAUAGGCACGGAUAGGCUUCUCCCCCUGCGAGCCUCGCCGCCGGGACGCUUAGCGAGGGGGAGACGCGUACGGAACGCACCGAGAAUUGAGCCGAGGGGCGAAACGCUCUCUCGCUGGCGCGGAGGAAACGGAGCGGAGCUACAAGCUAGCAGGACAAAGGAGACACUAUUGACUCAUUCCAGACUGCCGACUUAGCAGCUCGACUUUGUUUCCUUUUAACUUCGGUAACAGUAGGAGCUCAGAGCUCCCCGCUCGAUUUUCUGCGCAAAUAGAAACACCUGGACUUCAAAACAGCAACGCUCUUUGAAGCCACCCCGAGCCAUUAACACAUUAAAAACUCCGUGCGCUGCCGAGCCGGGCCGGGCUGCCGCCCAAAUCCCGCCCUGAGCCGCUGCCGGUCGGGGGUGGGGGGGGGGGGGGGGGGACAAUUUUGCACCGCCGCUUAAAGUCGCAACAGGUUUCGAAAGUGUAAAACCCACUUUUUUUUGAUCUUUGCUCCGGCUUUGCAGCGGAUUCCAGGAAACAGACCAGCAAUGGUUAGAAUCAUACAAUCGCUGAGGUUGGAAAAGACCUCUAAGAUCGUCAAGUCCAACCAUCACCGCCGCGCCCACUCAAAGAAUCAUAAAGAUUGGAAAAGACUUCCAAGACCAUCAAUUUCAACCCAUCGCCACCACGUGCACUUAGAUCAUAAAGAAUCAUGAAUUUACAUAGAGCCCCUCCUACACCUGAAUAUAUCUUAAGAAAAAAAAUAAAGCUUCAUGGCUUGCAAGUCCCUGUUAAGAAACUACCAGUGCUGGAGUUCUUGGCAUCAAAACCUCAUCUCCUUAAGAGCCAGAAGACAGAGCUAUGCUGUCUAUGCUAACCCAUGGCUACGGAU
ensembl:lncRNA